UAGGUUUGUUCUGGGUAUAAGCUUUUGUGUGCAUGCACACGGAAGCUUAUGCCCAGAACAAACUUA